rnacentral:rRNA from 1 species
AUGAACGCUGGCGGCGUGCUUAACACAUGCAAGUCGAACGAAGCAAUGAAGCGGAAGUUUUCGGACAGAAGCUUGAUUGACUGAGUGGCGGACGGGUGAGUAACGCGUGGGAAACCUGCCUUAUACAGGGGGAUAACAGUUAGAAAUGACUGCUAAUACCGCAUAAGCCUGCAGCAUCGCAUGAUGCAGGAGGAAAAGGAGCAAUCCGGUAUAAGAUGGUCCCGCGUCUGAUUAGCUAGUUGGUAAGGUAACGGCCUACCAAGGCGACGAUCAGUAGCCGACCUGAGAGGGUGACCGGCCACAUUGGGACUGAGACACGGCCCAAACUCCUACGGGAGGCAGCAGUGGGGAAUAUUGCACAAUGGGGGAAACCCUGAUGCAGCGACGCCGCGUGAGUGAAGAAGUCAUUCGUGAUGUAAAGCUCUAUCAGCAGGGAAGAAAGUGACAGUACCUGAGUAAGAAGCCCCGGCUAACUACGUGCCAGCAGCCGCGGUAAUACGUAGGGGGCAAGCGUUAUCCGGAUUUACUGGGUGUAAAGGGAGCGUAGGUGGUACUGCAAGUCAGAAGUGAAAGCCCCGUGCUUAACGUGGGGACUGCUUUUGAAACUGUGGGACUAGAGUGCAGGAGAGGUAAGUGGAAUUCCUAGUGUAGCGGUGAAAUGCGUAGAUAUUAGGAGGAACACCGGUGGCGAAGGCGGCUUACUGGACUGUAACUGACACUGAGGCUCGAAAGCGUGGGGAGCAAACAGGAUUAGAUACCCUGGUAGUCCACGCUGUAAACGAUGAAUACUAGGUGUUGGGGAGCGAAGCUCCUCGGUGCCGUCGCAAACGCAAUAAGUAUUCCACCUGGGGAGUACGUUCGCAAGAAUGAAACUCAAAGGAAUUGACGGGGACCCGCACAAGCGGUGGAGCAUGUGGUUUAAUUCGAAGCAACGCGAAGAACCUUACCAAGUCUUGACAUCUGGAUGACCGGGCUAGAGAUAGCCCUUCUCUUCGGAGCAUCCAAGACAGGUGGUGCAUGGUUGUCGUCAGCUCGUGUCGUGAGAUGUUGGGUUAAGUCCCGCAACGAGCGCAACCCUUAUCUUUAGUAGCCAGCAGGUAAAGCUGGGAACUCUAGAGAGACUGCCGUGGAUAACGCGGAGGAAGGUGGGGAUGACGUCAAAUCAUCAUGCCCCUUAUGACUUGGGCUACACACGUGCUACAAUGGCGUAAACAGAGGGAAGCGAACCCGCGAGGGGGAGCGAAUCCGAGAAAUAACGUCUCAGUUCGGAUUGCAGGCUGCAACUCGCCUGCAUGAAGCUGGAAUCGCUAGUAAUCGCAGAUCAGAAUGCUGCGGUGAAUACGUUCCCGGGUCUUGUACACACCGCCCGUCACACCAUGGGAGUCAGUAACGCCCGAAGCCGGUGACUCAACCUUUAAAAGGAGAGAGCCGUCGAAGGCGGGACGGAUAACUGGGGUG